rnacentral:tRNA from 1 species
AAGUUUAGGCUACAUACCAAACCGAGGGCCUUCAAAGCCCAAAACAGAGAUCCCCCUCUAACUUCU